rnacentral:rRNA from 1 species
AUUGAACGCUGGCGGCAUGCCUUACACAUGCAAGUCGAACGGCAGCACGGGAGCAAUCCUGGUGGCGAGUGGCGAACGGGUGAGUAAUAUAUCGGAACGUGCCAGUAGUGGGGGAUACCUGCUCGAAAGAGCAGCUAAUACCGCAUACGACCUGAGGGUGAAAGGGGGGGAUCGCAAGACCUCUCGCUAUUGGAGCGGCCGAUAUCAGAUUAGCUAGUUGGGGGGGGAAAGGCCUACCAAGGCAACGAUCUGUAGUUGGUCUGAGAGGACGACCAGCCACACUGGGACUGAGACACGGCCCAGACUCCUACGGGAGGCAGCAGUGGGGAAUUUUGGACAAUGGGCGCAAGCCUGAUCCAGCAAUGCCGCGUGCAGGAAGAAGGCCUUCGGGUUGUAAACUGCUUUUGUCAGGGAAGAAAUCCUCUAGGUUAAUACCCUUGGGGGGAUGACGGUACCUGAAGAAUAAGCACCGGCUAACUACGUGCCAGCAGCCGCCGUAAUAC